AUGGGGAUCCACCUGCUGGCGUUCGCGGGGGCGAGGAUCUUCGUGCAGGUGUUCCAGGUCUCGGCGCCGCUGCUGUGGCCGCUCAACCUCUGGCUUCCUCUCGCGCGCCGCCUGCCCGAGGCCUGCGCCGUCGCCCGCGCCGCGCUCGCCGCCCACGUCGCCUGGCUGCGCCGGGCAUGCCGUCCCGGCGCCCCCGUCUGGAGCCGCCGCGACGACGGGGUCUACCGCCGGGCGGUGCUCGACGUCGCCUACUACUGA
rnacentral:rRNA from 1 species